rnacentral:rRNA from 1 species
UACGGGGGGGGGCAAGCGUUGUUCGGAAUUACUGGGCGUAAAGCGCGCGUAGGCGGCUUUUGCAAGUCGGGUGUGAAAUCCCCAGGCUUAACCUGGGAACUGCAUUCGAGACUGCAUUGCUAGAGUAUGGGAGAGGGAAGUGGAAUUUCCGGUGUAGCGGUGAAAUGCGUAGAUAUCGGAAGGAACAUCAGUGGCGAAAGCGACUUCCUGGACCAAUACUGACGCUCAUGUGCGAAAGCGUGGGGAGCAAACAGG